AGCCUGAACGCUGGCGGCGUGGCUAAGACAUGUAAGUCGAACGGUGUAGCAAUACACAGUGGCGAACGGGUGAGUAAUGUAUCGCUAACGUACCCUUAUGUCAGGGAUAGCCGGGGGAAACUCCGGGUAAUACCUGAUGAAAUUCCUUUUUCGCAUGGAAAAGGACUCAAAGGAGCAAUCCGCAAAAGGAGCGGGCGAUAUCGUAUCAGCUAGUUGGUGAGGUAACGGCUCACCAAGGCGACGACGCGUAGCCGGGCUGAGAGGUCAGCCGGCCACAUUGGGACUGAGACACUGCCCAGACUCCUACGGGGGGCUGCAGUAACGAAUCUUCCGCAAUGCACGCAAGUGUGACGGAGCGACGCCGCGUGUGGGACGAAGUCCUUCGGGAUGUAAACCACUGUCAGGGGUAAGAAAGUUCUGAUCUACCCCAGAGGAAGGCACGGCUAACUCUGCGCCAGCAGCCGC
rnacentral:rRNA from 1 species